GAGUCUCUAUGGGCCCAUUAUUUUAUAAUAUUUGUCACACUAGUGAAUUUUUUACAAAUGGAAUCGAGAACCAUUAACCAAGUCAUAGCGAUUCGGUUCCGAUUAAUGACUAGAACCAAAAUUAAGUGAAAAAACUCGAAUUAACCUAGUUCAGUUGGUAAGUCGGUUAAUCGGUCUAAAAUUUCAGCCCUAAUUUCAUAUUUAUAUUAAAACAGAGCUAUAUCUAUAUGAGGUUUACCUUUAUUGAUGACUU
rnacentral:lncRNA from 1 species